rnacentral:rRNA from 1 species
GGAUCCAGACUUUGAUUAUGGCUCAGGACGAACGCUGGCGGCGCGCCUAACACAUGCAAGUCGAACGGAGUCAAGAGGAGCUUGCUUUUCUUGACUUAGUGGCGAACGGGUGAGUAACGCGUGAGUAACCUGCCCUAGAGUGGGGGACAACAGUUGGAAACGACUGCUAAUACCGCAUAAGCCCACGGAUCCGCAUGGAUCUGGGGGAAAAGGAUUUAUUCGCUUUAGGAUGGACUCGCGUCCAAUUAGCUAGUUGGUGAGGUAACGGCCCACCAAGGCGACGAUUGGUAGCCGGACUGAGAGGUUGAACGGCCACAUUGGGACUGAGACACGGCCCAGACUCCUACGGGAGGCAGCAGUGGGGGAUAUUGCACAAUGGGGGAAACCCUGAUGCAGCGACGCCGCGUGGAGGAAGAAGGUUUUCGGAUUGUAAACUCCUGUCGUUAGGGACGAUAAUGACGGUACCUAACAAGAAAGCACCGGCUAACUACGUGCCAGCAGCCGCGGUAAAACGUAGGGUGCAAGCGUUGUCCGGAAUUACUGGGUGUAAAGGGAGCGCAGGCGGACCGGCAAGUUGGAAGUGAAAACUAUGGGCUCAACCCAUAAAUUGCUUUCAAAACUGCUGGCCUUGAGUAGUGCAGAGGUAGGUGGAAUUCCCGGUGUAGCGGUGGAAUGCGUAGAUAUCGGGAGGAACACCAGUGGCGAAGGCGACCUACUGGGCACCAACUGACGCUGAGGCUCGAAAGCAUGGGUAGCAAACAGGAUUAGAUACCCUGGUAGUCCAUGCCGUAAACGAUGAUUACUAGGUGUUGGAGGAUUGACCCCUUCAGUGCCGCAGUUAACACAAUAAGUAAUCCACCUGGGGAGUACGACCGCAAGGUUGCAACUCAAAGGAAUUGACGG